AUUGAACGCUGGCGGCAUGCCUUACACAUGCAAGUCGAACGGUAACAGGUCUUCGGAUGCUGACGAGUGGCGAACGGGUGAGUAAUACAUCGGAACGUGCCCGAGAGUGGGGGAUAACGAGGCGAAAGCUUUGCUAAUACCGCAUACGAUAUCAGGAUGAAAGCAGGGGACCGCAAGGCCUUGCGCUCACGGAGCGGCCGAUGGCAGAUUAGGUAGUUGGUGGGAUAAAAGCUUACCAAGCCGACGAUCUGUAGCUGGUCUGAGAGGACGACCAGCCACACUGGGACUGAGACACGGCCCAGACUCCUACGGGAGGCAGCAGUGGGGAAUUUUGGACAAUGGGCGCAAGCCUGAUCCAGCCAUGCCGCGUGCAGGAUGAAGGCCUUCGGGUUGUAAACUGCUUUUGUACGGAACGAAAAGACUCUGGUUAAUACCUGGGGUCCAUGACGGCACCGUAAGAAUAAGCACCGGCUAACUACGUGCCAGCCGCCGCCGUAAAAC
rnacentral:rRNA from 1 species